CAGCAGCCGCGGUAAAACGUAGGGUGCAAGCGUUAAUCGGAAUUACUGGGCGUAAAGCGUGCGCAGGCGGUUAUAUAAGACAGAUGUGAAAUCCCCGGGCUCAACCUGGGAACUGCAUUUGUGACUGUAUAGCUAGAGUACGGCAGAGGGGGAUGGAAUUCCGCGUGUAGCAGUGAAAUGCGUAGAUAUGCGGAGGAACACCGAUGGCGAAGGCAAUCCCCUGGGCCUGUACUGACGCUCAUGCACGAAAGCGUGGGGAGCAAACAGGAUUAGAGACCCCCGUAGUCCCUGUCUCUUAUAA
rnacentral:rRNA from 1 species